CGGGGUGCAGCAGGCGCGAAACCUUCGCAAUGCGCGCAAGCGCGACGAGGUUAUUCUGAGUGAUUUCCGCUGAGGAAAUCUUUUCUUAGAUCUAAAAAGUCUGGGGAAUAAGGGGAGGGCAAGUCUGGUGUCAGCCGCCGCGGUAAUACCAGCUCCUCGAGUGGUCAGGGCGUUUAUUGGGCCUAAAGCAUCCGUAGCCGGCUCAUUAGGUCUCCUGUUAAAUCCAACGGCUCAACCGUUGGUCUGCAGGAGAUACCGAUGGGCUAGGAGGCGGGAGAGGCGGACGGUACUCCGAGGGUAGGGGUAAAAUCCUUUGAUCCCCGGAAGACCACCAGUGGCGAAGGCGGUCCGCCAGAACGCGCUCGACGGUGAGGGAUGAAAGCUGGGGGAGCGAACCGGAUUAGAUACCCGGGUAGUCCCAGCUGUAAACGAUGCGAGCUAGGUGACACAAGGCCUUCGGGGCCUUGUGGUGCCGCAGGGAAGCCGUUAAGCUCGCCGCCUGGGGAGUACGGACGCAAGUCUGAAACUUAAAGGAAUUGGCGGGGGAGCACAAGGGCGAAUGCG
rnacentral:rRNA from 1 species